UUACGGCCAUAUCACGUUGAAACACCAGUUCCCGUACGAUCACCGAAUUUAAGCAACGUCGAGCCUGGUCAGUGCCAAGAUGGGUGACAGUUUGGGAAUACCAGAUCCUGUA